GACGAACCGUGCGAACGUUAUUCGGAAUCACUGGGCUUAAAGCGCGUGUAGGCGGAUGGGGACGUCGGUUGCUGAAAUCCCCCGGCUCAACCGGGGAACGGGCACCGAAAUGCCCCGUCUGGAGGGACGUAGGGGGACCUGGAACUUCCGGUGGAGCGGUGAAAUGCGUUGAGAUCGGAAGGAACGCCCGUGGCGAAAGCGAGGUCCUGGACGUUUUCUGACGCUGAGACGCGAAAGCUAGGGGAGCGAACGGG
rnacentral:rRNA from 1 species